UACGUAGGUGUCAAGCGUUGUCCGGAUUUAUUGGGCGUAAAGCGCCCGCAGGCGGCUUGCCAAGUUCGAUGUGAAAUCUCCCGGCUCAACUGGGAGGGUGCAUCGAAAACUGGCAGGCUUGAGGCAGGGAGAGGGAUGUGGAAUUCCAGGUGUAGUGGUGAAAUGCGUAGAGAUCAGGAAGAACACCGGUGGCGAAGGCGCUCUGCUAGGCCGCAACUGACACUGAGGGACGAAAGCUAGGGGAGCGAAUGGG
rnacentral:rRNA from 1 species